GAUGAACGCUAGCGGCAGGCUUAAUACAUGCAAGUCGAGGGACAGCACAGGUAGCAAUACUGGGUGGUAACCGGCAAACGGGUGCGGAACACGUACACAACCUUCCUUUAAGUGGGGGAUAGCCCAGAGAAAUUUGGAUUAAUACCCCGUAAUAUAGUUGAAUGGCAUCAUUUGAUUAUUAUAGCUACGGCGCUUAAUGAUGGGUGUGCGGCUGAUUAGAUAGUUGGCGGGGUAACGGCCCACCAAGUCUACGAUCAGUAGCUGAUGUGAGAGCAUGAUCAGCCACACGGGCACUGAGACUCGGGCCCGACUACUACGAGAGGCAGCAGUAAGGAAUAUUGGUCAAUGGACGCAAGUCUGAACCAGCCAUGCCGCGUGAAGGAUUAAGGUCCUCUGGAUUGUAAACUUCUUUUAUUUGGGACGAAAAAGGGCCUUUCUAGGUCAACUGACGGUACCAGAUGAAUAAGCACCGGCUAACUCCGUGCCAGCAGCCGCGGUAAGAC
rnacentral:rRNA from 1 species